AUGGAGGUUACCCCCAACCACACGCAGGAGGUAAGCGGGUGGGCGGCCAUGGACGAGUCCGGCAAGAUGGUGCCCUUCAACUUCAAGCGUCGGGAGAACGGCGUGGACGACGUGACCAUCAAGGUGCUCUACUGCGGCAUGUGCCACACAGACCUCCACUUCGCCAAGAACCACUGGGGCAUCACCACGUAUCCGGUGGUGCCCGGCCACGAGAUCACCGGCGUGGUCACCAAGGUGGGCGCCAACGUGUCGGGGUUCAGGCCCGGCGACCGCGUCGGCGUGGGGUGCCUGGCCUGCUCGUGCCUGGACUGCGAGCAAUGCGACAUCUCCCAAGAGAACUACUGCGACAAGAUGGGGCUCACCUACAACAGCGUCUACUGGGACGGCAGCAUCACCUACGGCGGCUACUCCAGCAUGUACGUCGCGCACAAGCGGUUCGUGGUGCGCGUCCCGGACAGCCUGCCGCUGGACGCGGCGGCGCCGCUGCUGUGCGCGGGGAUCACCGUGUACACCCCGAUGAAGAAGCACGGGAUGCUGCGGGCCGCCGGCAGGAGGCUCGGGGUGGUGGGGCUGGGCGGGCUGGGCCACAUCGCCGUCAAGUUCGGCAAGGCGUUCGGGCUGCACGUCACGGUCAUCAGCACGUCGCCGGCCAAGGAGCAGGAGGCCAGGGAGAACCUCAAGGCCGACGACUUCAUCAUCAGCACCGACGACAAGCAGAUGCAGGCUAUGGCGAGGAAGCUUGACUACGUGAUCGACACAGUCCCGGCGGCGCACUCGCUGGGACCAAUCCUGGAGCUGCUCAAGGUGGGCGGCGCACUCGCCCUCGUCGCCGCUCCGGACGGGCCCCUCGAACUCCCUUCCUUCCCGCUUAUUUUCGGGAACAAGACGAUCAGUGGGAGCAUAACGGGCGGGAUGAAUGACCAUCAGGAGAUGAUGGACCUGUGCGGGGAGCACAACAUCACCUGCGACAUCGAGAUCGUCUCCAACGACGGGAUCAACAACGCGUUAGCCAGGCUCGCGCGCAACGAUGUCCGCUACCGUUUCGUCAUCGACAUUGUGGGGGGUGACUCCAGGUUCUAG
rnacentral:rRNA from 1 species